CGGGAGCCUUGCCCGCAGGCUGCGCGCCUUCUGCGCGGCUCUUACAGUCUGAGUCACAGGGCCCCCGGGGAUCCGGACUUUGCCUGGUUCCGGUAAGGACUGAGAGGGAGCCCACUGUGGCUCUGUGCUUGAGCACCCUCUCCAGAAUCCGCUGACUCGGGAAUAAAGGCAGUGUUUGCCUCACCUUCCUAAUCUUUUAUCUGCUCAUGGAGAAUGAACUUGGGGAAGACGGGGUGCAUCGUCUGCUGGUCCCGCCUCCAUGGGUGGGCGGUGGUGGGAGGAGCUGAAGGCUAGGCUCCCCCUACGUAGGCUGCAGGUGGGCUGGAGGGGGAGCCUGGCGGCCUGAUCGGGGUUACUCUCCAGGACUUUGUUCCGCUUCUCAGGGCCCAGAGUUCAUGCCACACGUCUCCUGGAAGCUAGUGGGCCCCUGAAGCAUCAUGCUGUGUUCUGGCCCUGCCUUCACCCAUCCCUCCCACUGGGGCUUUUGCUUCCACUUUCAACUGUAUCAGACUUUAUUCCCUCUCGGUUCCCCUAUCCUGAGCGGUCCUUGCCAGACUGGCCCUUUUGGGAAAAAAAAGGUGGGAGAACGGGCCCAGCACCCGCUGGAGAGCAGCACUGGACCAGGAGAUGGGGAUGGAGCUGGGCUGAGGUUGGGCCCUGGGCAUGGGUGGCAUGGGCUGGAAGUUCAGAGAAGGAGAGGAGCCCCUGGGUGGCCAUGGAUGCCUCCUUAAACCUCUGAGCCUCAUUUUCCCCAGCCGCCUGCUGGUGGGGAUUCUGCAGAGCUGGACUAGCUCAGCCUUCCUGUUGUGGGUCCCAGGUCUGCACACAGGCCUGAGGAGUGCAGAUGAAGCCAGGGCAGCGGGGGCAAGGUGAGAGCCAGUCCUGGGCUCUGCUGCCAGCUGUUCCUCUUCUCAGUCUGGGAUUUUGAUGGAAGAGGGGUCACUUGUUCAGAGGUGGGGUUCUGGGCCAAGGGUGGGAGAGUGCCACACCGCACUGGAGACAGGCCAGUGCUGAGCAGAAAGGAGCACUUAUUAUAAAUUCCCUGAGGGGAGGGCAGCAUUUGAUCCGAUAAGAUCUAUCCUGGGCCCCCUAAUCCCCACGGCCAGCUCUCUGGUGACCCAGCACACCGUGAGGGGCCUUGAUGUGGGCCUCGGGUCUUUGCAGGGCUCCCCCUUCCCUCAGCCGCUGUCACAGCCCUGAAACCCCACCAGAGGGGUCGCCUGGCUUUGAUCCUAUAACAUUCCUGGGUUAAGCAAACACUCAUGAGGUGCUGCCAGCAGCUGACACUUCCUAGGGCUGUUCUGUGCAGCAGGCUUUGUUUUUUUGCAUUAUCUCUUAUUUAUAAAGGAAAUAAAUCCUCUUAACGGCCCAUCGACAGACUAGGAAACAGGAGCUCAGAGAGGUUAGGUAACUUGCCCAAGGUCACCCCGCGUGGGUGUGUGGGGGGUGGGUGGAACCUGGGUGGAACCUUGCCUACGUGCUGAUGGGGUGGGGAGCACCUGAUUCAUCUUUCAAACCCCACCCUAAUCCUGGUGGGACCCCUGAAAACUGGCUCAAUGAAGCUGAUUAACUAGGCAGCUGAGAUGGAGGGGAAGGGAGGCUGCUCUUGGGGGUCCUGGAUUCAAACUCUGCUCUGCCAUGAAAGAGCUGUGUGCCCGUGGGCAAGUCCCUUUACCUCUCUGAGUUUCAGUGUCCUCCUCUAUCAAAUAGGGUACUAGGGUGUGAUUGAAAAAAUAUGCUGUGAGAAUUCAGGGUAACUUGGGGUGGAGAUCAGGAAGAGGUGCAUCAGGCAGGACCUUCCCCACCUGUGCCCCCGGCCCAGCAGACCCCAGAGCCUGAGUCCUGCUGCAAGUGGCCUGCUCUUUCAUCCUGCAGAGAGCAAAGUGAGCCCCGAGAAGGCCCUGGAACACCCUGCAUCACACAGCAGAGGAAGCCCAGAGAGGUGGACGGCAGUGUUCUGGAUCUGGCUUCACCUGCUAUGGCUGGAGCCUGGUCAAGGCGGCUCUUUCAGCUGGGGGCUCCCGCCUGAUACCACUCGCAGUACCCCGAGCCUAGCCCUUCUUGGGUAUCACAGUGAUAUCGAGGGGUGCUGGGGGUCUUCUGUGCCUUCCGUUUUUUUUUUGUUUUUUUGUUUUUUAUGUAUGUACUGCUACAUGCAGCAGGGCUGUUUAUUUAUUUAAGACACUUCAUUUUUUUCAAGUAAUUUUCAGGUUACAGAAAACCUGAGCAGAAGGCACAGAGUUCCUAUAUACCCCUUGGCCUCUGCCCGCCUCCGCAGUGUUGCCCAUUGUUAAUAGCUUGCAUGGGCUGGUGCCUUUGUUACAACUGAUGAGCCAAUACUGAUACAUUUUCACUAACUCAAGUCCCCGCUUUACAAUGGGGUUGACACUAUGUUUUUACGCUUUGAAGGUUGUGACAAAUGAAUAAUGACAUGUAUCCCCCCUACAGCAUCCUGCAGGACUGUUCCACUGUCCUAAAAAGUCUCUGCCAUCCAUUUGUUCAUCCAACCCCCCCCCCCCCGCCCUAUGCCCUUGAACGCCUGGCAACCACAGAUUUUUUUUUUUUUUUUUUUACCAUCUCCACAAUUUUGCCUUUAUCAGGAUGCAUUGCUGUUGUAAUCAUACAGUACAAAGCCUUUUCAGAAUGACCCCUCUCAUUUAGCAGGACGCAUUUCUAAGCUUCUUCUGUGUCUCUUUGUUACUUGAUAGCUCAUUUCUUUUUAUCACCGGCCCGACCCUCAUUUCCUGUAACUUUUGCUGUAAUUGCUCAGCAGCGUCCGGGGUUUUGUUGUUGAUUCUCUGGAAUUUUCUACGUGGAUGAUCAGGUUAUCUGUGAACAGAAGCAGUCGUAUCUCCUCCUUCCACAUCCGUGGACAUUUUUUAGCCCUUACUCGGCUGGCUGCGUUAGCUAGGGCUUCCUGAGGGAUGCUGGAAAGGUGGGAUAGGAGGGGACCUUCUGGCUUUCAAACGGAGCGCUUAACCCAAGAGGUACAUCCAGCUUGGGCCUUGGCAGGAUUCCCCGAGGCCCGUGUGCCCUGGUGCCUGUUGACUCCCUGUAAACUGGGAUGCAGCCCCCACCCGCGCCCCGUCCCGGCGAGGCUGGCCGGGGAAGAGCAGGGGUGAGACGGUAAAGCGCCCCCUCAGAUCCCGAGCGUGGCAAGGUCUGUAAUGAAUGAGCAGUUCAGCAUCCCUGAUGGCAUCGCGUCUCGUCUGCCCCACCUUCCCCUCCCGGUUGGUCCACCGUCCCGUUUGUAGGGGUGUCGUGCCCUUAGUCACACCUUGGCUGGGGGAGACACCCUCCCUGCCCACUCUCUGCCCUGCUCCACCUCCUCUGCUGCCACAUGUUCAGGAGCUUUUAAUUCAAAAGGUGCUCAUACAAAAUGUUCGCUAAAAAUAAAGCCGUCAAACAUUCCUGGAUGUGGUGUGCUAUUGUAGGGCUUAAAUACUUAUUAAAAAUGAGAGCUUACC
rnacentral:lncRNA from 1 species